rnacentral:rRNA from 1 species
UACGGGGGGAGCAAGCGUUGUUCGGAUUUACUGGGCGUAAAGGGCGCGUAGGCGGUCAGCACAAGUCAGUUGUGAAAUCUCCGGGCUUAACUCGGAAAGGUCAACUGAUACUGUGCGACUAGAGUGCGGAAGGGGCAACUGGAAUUCUUGGUGUAGCGGUGAAAUGCGUAGAUAUCAGGAAGAACACCUAUGGCGAAGGCAGCACUCUGGGACGGUACUGACGCUGAGACGCGAAAGCGUGGGGAGCGAACAGG